rnacentral:rRNA from 1 species
UAAGCGGAGGAAAAGAAACUAACAAGGAUUCCCCUAGUAGCGGCGAGCGAAGCGGGAAGAGCUCAAAUUUAUAAUCUGGCACCUUCGGUGUCCGAGUUGUAAUCUCUAGAAGUGUUUUCCGCGUUGGACCGCACACAAGUCUGUUGGAAUACAGCGGCAUAGUGGUGAAACCCCCGUAUAUGGUGCGGACGCCCAGCGCUUUGUGAUACACUUUCAAUGAGUCGAGUUGUUUGGGAAUGCAGCUCAAAUUGGGUGGUAAAUUCCAUCUAAAGCUAAAUAUUGGCGAGAGACCGAUAGCGAACAAGUACCGUGAGGGAAAGAUGAAAAGCACUUUGGAAAGAGAGUUAACAGUACGUGAAAUUGUUGGAAGGGAAACGCUUGAAGUCAGACUUGCUUGCCGGAGCUUGCUUCGGUUUGCAGGCCAGCAUCAGUUUUCCGGGGUGGAUAAUGACGGUUUGAAGGUAGCAGUCUCGGCUGUGUUAUAGCUUUCCGUUGGAUACAUCCUGGGGGACUGAGGAACGCAGCGUGCUUUUGCGAAAGACUCGUC